GAUGAACGCUGGCGGCGUGCCUAAUACAUGCAAGUCGAGCGAACAGACGAGGAGCUUGCUCCUCUGACGUUAGCGGCGGACGGGUGAGUAACACGUGGAUAACCUACCUAUAAGACUGGGAUAACUUCGGGAAACCGGAUCUAAUACCGGAUAAUAUAUUGAACCGCAUGGUUCAAUAGUGAAAGACGGUUUUGCUGUCACUUAUAGAUGGAUCCGCGCCGGAUUAGCUAGUUGGUAAGUUAACGGCCUACCAAGGCAACGAUGCGUAGCCGACCUGAGAGGGUGAUCGGCCACACUGGAACUGAGACACGGUCCAGACUCCUACGGGAGGCAGCAGUAGGGAAUCUUCCGCAAUGGGCGAAAGCCUGACGGAGCAACGCCGCGUGAGUGAUGAAGGUCUUCGGAUCGUAAAGCUCUGUUAGUAGGGAAGAACAAAUGUGUAAGUAACUAUGGACGUCUUGACGGUACCUAAACAAAAAGCCCCGGCUAACUACGUG
rnacentral:rRNA from 1 species